AAGUUGCAGGAAGAUUUUGGAGACCAUAGCCGUCCUGUGCAACACUGGAUAUGAGUGUGCAAUAUACCAUCUAAAGGAACCGGCGAGUCAGAAUGUCUUAGAAGAUCAAGUGUGCUUCUCCACUGAUGAUGAUGAGCUGGAUACCAGCUUAUGUGCUAAUUUCUUUCAAGGACGGGACCAGAUGUGUUUGGAGUUGAAGGCAAUGCUGAAGACCAAAGAAGCAACGGAAGAAGCACAUUAAAGCAAUGAGGAUGUCCAGCCUGUUUGCCAUGUCAGAUCCAGCGGCUAGAUGGCGGGAGAUCCUUCAUUAUACCCGA